rnacentral:misc_RNA from 1 species
AUUCAUCGCGGCCCGAGGUUUUCUGAACCUUUCGGACCCGCGGAAGUGGGGGCCUGCCGCGGCGACGCGGCUCCCCUCAAAUGCAUCGGUGGGGUCUCCGGACAUCCCGGGCGUUGUACUGUCCUCGUCCGACACGGGUGUUUGAAAGCGAGCCCCUCCUCGACCGUUUUCCGUGCGAGCGGCGGUCAAACUCAUACUUUGAAAU